rnacentral:rRNA from 1 species
UGGGGAAUUUUGGACAAUGGGGGGAAACCCUGAUCCAGCCAUCCCGCGUGUGCGAUGAGGGCCUUCGGGUUGUAAAGCACUUUUGGCAGGAAAGAAACGUCGCGGGUUAAUACCCCGCGAAACUGACGGUACCUGCAGAAUAAGCACCGGCUAACUACGUGCCAGCAGCCGCGGUAAUACGUAGGGUGCAAGCGUUAAUCGGAAUUACUGGGCGUAAAGCGUGCGCAGGCGGUUCGGAAAGAAAGAUGUGAAAUCCCAGAGCUUAACUUUGGAACUGCAUUUUUAACUACCGGGCUAGAGUGUGUCAGAGGGAGGUGGAAUUCCGCGUGUAGCAGUGAAAUGCGUAGAUAUGCGGAGGAACACCGAUGGCGAAGGCAGCCUCCUGGGAUAACACUGACGCUCAUGCACGAAAGCGUGGGGAGCAAACAGGAUUAGAUACCCUGGUAGUCCACGCCCUAAACGAUGUCAACUAGCUGUUGGGGGCCUUCGGGCCUUGGUAGCGCAGCUAACGCGUGAAGUUGACCGCCUGGGGGAGUACGGUCGCAAGAUUAAAACUCAAAGGAAUU